CAGUAGCCGCGGUAAUACGAAGGGUGCAAGCGUUACUCGGAAUUACUGGGCGUAAAGCGUGCGUAGGUGGUGGUUUAAGUCCGUUGUGAAAGCCCUGGGCUCAACCUGGGAAUUGCAGUGGAUACUGGGUCACUAGAGUGUGGUAGAGGAUAGUGGAAUUUCCGGUGUAGCAGUGAAAUGCGUAGAGAUCGGAAGGAACAUCUGUGGCGAAGGCGACUAUCUGGGCCAACACUGACACUGAGGCACAAAAGCGUGGGGAGCAAACAGGAUUAGAUACCCCAGUAGUCCCUGUCUCUUAUAC
rnacentral:rRNA from 1 species